CGGAAGAUUGAAAAUACAAGCGACAGAACCUACCGUCGCCGCAAAAAGUCAGGUAAAAAAUACUUUCCUGUGGAUAUUUUAUCUCCACUUCCUACUGUGAAAAGGACCAACAGCACGGACAACUGCCUCCCGAACAGAAUGCAGGCCAGGGCGAUGAUGUGGAUGAUGAAGUAGAUGGAGGUCCAGUAGUGGACGGUGUCGCUGGCCUUCAGCAGGACGAAGCCCAUACACAUGUAGUCAUAGGCCCUCAUCUUGAGGAACCAGUGGACCCAGUCGAAGGCACUCUGACCCCGGGGCCCCAGCUUGGCCCUGACCGACGCCUCCAUGGCCGACUCAGCCGCAAUACACAGAGGAAUGGUGAGGAAUGACAGGUAGUAGCCAGCGUGAAGGCCGUGCCAGUAUGCACUGAUGAACAUUGUCCAUCCAGCCCUGGGAGAGAAUUGUGAAACGUAUGCAUCAAAUGACAUUCAGGGGACAUCUUAUCUGGCAGUUACAAAUAUAUUGAAAGUUGACUGUAGUUUUGUAGUUUAACAGACUAUGAGACAGUUUAUUUUAGACACAACACGCAUGCCUUCUCUAGUGAACCUGCAUAGGGCCCUUACUUGAGUGCGUAAGCCUUGAAGGGGGAGUUGGGGUAGAUGUAGUGAUGCAGCCACCACUGCACAGUCAUGUUCCAGUAGCGCAUCCCGUGUCGGACCUUCACACAGAAGUCCGUGUUGUAUGGGUCAAUGUUCUGGAUGGUUUUGAAGUCGUACACAACCGGACUUUCAGGGUCAGGGCUGGAGAGACCGAAGAAUCAAAACCAAGAUUAAACACUUAAAUAAUUAUGAAUUCAUGUACCUUACUGUUUUUCCCAACUGGACUGAAUAUCCUGUGUGAGACUUGCCUGUAGUUGACAGUGGGACCCCCUCCUGGCUUGGAGAGCGCCCCCUCUGGGUAACAGCCCAGUCCUGCGCUGAUGCAGCCAGCCUCUGCCCCACACCAUGCAGCGUAGAACCGCAUCCGGAACACAAAGAACACCACCGUCAUGUAGAACAACCUGGAG